CGAACACGGUAGUUAAGCUUCUCUGCGCCAAUGGUAGUUGGGGGUUUCCCCCUGCGAGAGUAGGUCGCUGCCGGGC
rnacentral:rRNA from 1 species